rnacentral:rRNA from 1 species
GGUGAACGCUGGCGGCGUGCCUAAUACAUGCAAGUCGAGCGAACAGACGAUGAGCUUUCUCCCCUGACGUUGGCGGCGGGCGGGCGAGUAACACGUGGAUCACCUUCUUAUAAUUCUGGGAUAACUUCGGAAAACCGCUGCCAAUACUGCCUCAUACAUCCAACCGCUUGGUUCAAUAGAUAUUGACGCCUUGCCCGUUACUUUUAGCCGAAUCCGCGCCGCAUUAGCUAGUUGGUAAGGUAACGGCUUACCAAGGCAACGAUGCGUAGCCGACCUGAGAGGGUGAUCGGCCACACUGGAACUGAGACACGGUCCAGACUCCUACGGGAGGCAGCAGUAGGGAAUAUUGGGCAAUGGGCGAAAGCCUGACGGAGCCAUGCCGCGUGAGUGAUGAAGGUCUUCGGAUCGUAAAGCUCUGUUGUUGGGGAAGAAAAGAAGUGUAAGAAAAUAUGCACGUCUUGACGGUACCUAAUCAGAAAGCCACGGCUAACUACGUG